CCUACGGGGUGCUGCAGUGAGGAAUAUUGGUCCAUGGGCGAGAGCCUGACCCAGCCAAGUCGCGUGAAGGAUGACGGCCCUACGGGUUGUAAACUUCUUUUGUCAGGGAGCAAUUGAGUCCACGUGUGGUAUUAGCGAGAGUACCUGAAGAAAAAGCAUCGGCUAACUCCGUGCCAGCAGCCGCGGUAAUACGGAGGAUGCGAGCGUUAUCCGGAUUUAUUGGGUUUAAAGGGUGCGUAGGCGGAAUAUCAAGUCAGCGGUAAAAAUUCGGGGCUCAACCCCGUCGUGCCGUUGAAACUGAUGUUCUUGAGUGGGCGAGAAGUAUGCGGAAUGCGUGGUGUAGCGGUGAAAUGCAUAGAUAUCACGCAGAACUCCGAUUGCGAAGGCAGCAUACCGGCGCCCAACUGACGCUGAAGCACGAAAGCGUGGGUAUCGAACAGGAUUAGAUACCCUGGUAGUC
rnacentral:rRNA from 1 species